rnacentral:lncRNA from 1 species
UGAUCCACCCACCUCAGCCUCUCAAAGUGCUGGAAUUACAGGCGUGAGCCACCGUGCCCAGCCCAUUUUUUCCUUUUCUAAUGCUAUUGUUUCCUUAUGUAGAUCCAAAUUUUAGACCUGUAUCAUUUUCCUUCUCUCUGAAGAACUUUAAACAUUCUUUGCAAGGCAGGUCUACUGGUGAUAAAUUCCCUAAGUUUUGGUUUAUGUGAGAAAGUAUUUAUCCUCCACUUUUGAAGGAUAGUUUCACUGGAUACAAAAGUCUAGGUUUGUAGUUUUGUUUUCCUUUGAAAACUUUCUAUCACUCUAAUCUCUUCUUGUUUGCAAGGCUUUUGAAGAGAAUCUGAGGUAAUUCUUACCUCUGUUCCUCUGUAGGUAAGGUGUUUUUUCCCUCUGGCUUCUUUCAAUAUUUUCUCUUUGUCUUUUGUUUUCUGCUAUGUCUAGGUGUAGGUUUUUUGGCACAUAUCCUGCUUGGUAUUCUUUUGAGCUUUCUAGAUCUGUGGUUAGGAAUCUGUCAUCAAUUUUUUAAAAUUCUCAAUUAUUAUUUCAAGUACUUCCUCUGUUCCCUUUUCUCUUUCUUCUCCUUCUGGUAUUCCCAUUAUGUGUAUGCUACACUUUUUGUAAUUGUACCAAAGUUCUUGGAUAUUGGAUUCCAUUUGUUCAUUCCUUUUUCUCUUUGCUUUUCAGUUUGGGAAAUUUCUAUUGACAUAUCUUGAAGCUCACUGAUUCUUUCCUUGACAAUGUCCAGCCUACUAGUAAGCCCAUCAAAAGCUUUCUUUACUUCUGUUAUAGUGGUUUUUAUCCCCUUUUGAUUCUUUGGGUUUCCAUUCCUUUGCUUACAUUACCCAUCUGUUCUUGCAUAUUGUUCACUUUUGCCAUUAGAGCCCUUAACAUGUUAUUCAUACUUAUUUUAAAUUCCCAGUCUAAUAAUUCCAAAAUCUCUGCCAUAUCUGAGUCUAGUUCUGCUGCUUGCUUUGUCUCUUGAGACUGUGUUUUUUUACCUUUUAGCAUGCCUUGUAAUUUUUUGUCAAAAGCCAGACAUAAUAUAUUGGGUAAAAUAAACUGAGGCAAAUAGGCCUCUAGUGUGAGGUUUUAUGUUUAUUUGGCUAGAAGUUAGGCUUUGUUUACUGUUUGGCAUAGCUGUAGGUGUCAGAGGCUAAAUUUCCCCUCUCUCUCUCUUUUUUUUUUUUUGUUUUGUUUCCCCUGGAGACUUCUUAAUAGGGUCUGAGCCUUGCAGUUCCUUCCACUGUAAUCCCUAAUCCCCUGUGUUGUGCUUUUUGUUUUGUUUUGUUUUGUUUUUUUGUGAGACGGAGUCUCAUUCUGUCACCCAGGCUAGAGUGCAGUGGCACUAUCUUGGCUCACUGCAACCUCCACCUCCCAGGUUCAAGCGAUUCUCCUGCCUCAGCCUCCCAAGUAGCUGGGACUACAGGCACAUGCCAUCACGCCUGGCUAAUUUUUGUAUUUUUGGUAGAGACGGGGUUUUGCCAUGUUGGCCAGGCUGGUCUCAAACGCCUGACCUUGUGAACUGCCAACCUCAGCCUCCCAAAGUGCUGGGAUUACAGGUGUCAGCCACUGCGCCUGGCCAUCCCUUGUUAUUAUUAAACAGGAGCCCAACUGAUAUGGUGGUAAAAUGUCAGGCAAUGAUAAAUGAUCUAUAACCCCAUGGUUAUCUCAGUCUUUUGGUGGGUCUGGGCUCCCUGGGAUGUUACAGUCACAGGUGCUUUUGGCUUUUUUCCCUCCUUAGAUGAGACAGGAGGGCUACAUAGAGCUGAUGUUAGGAAUUUCCAUCUUUCCAAGUUAGUGAGGCUCUGGUGAAACAGUUUCCCUUGAGGCCAGGCCUUUGUUAGAGAGAACAGAGAGCUCUGGGCAUAUUGCAACAUAGCUACUUUCCUCUUGCCUGCCAGUAGCAGGACGCUUUUCUUUGUUCUAAGUCUAAGAACUUGGAGGGGCUCCUGAAGGUAAAGCUUACAAAGCACCGAUUAAUGCAAGUAUCCUUGUUUUAUCUCCUAGGGAGAUAGGCAGUCAGUCUUUCACCAUUGAGUAUAAUGUUAGGUGUGGAUUUUUCAUAAAUGCCCUUAUCACACUGAGGAAAUUCCCUUCCAUUCUUGGUUUUCUGAGUUUUUUUUUUUUUAAUCAUAAAAGAGUUAGAUUUUGUCAAAUACUUUUCUUAUAUCAGCUGAAAUAAUCAUGUGGUUUUCUUUCUCUUCAUUCUGUUAAUGCGGUGUAUUACACUGAUUUUCUUAUGUUGAACUACCCUUGCAUUCCUGUAAUAAAUCUUGCUUUGUCAUACUGUAUAAUACUUUUAAUAUUCUGUUACAUUGAGUUUGCCAUUAUUUUAUUGAGAAUUUUUUACAUUUACAGUCAUAUGGAAAUAUUGCUUUUUUUUUUUUCUUGUGGUGUCUUUAGGUAGCUUUGGUAUACAUGUAAUAAUUGCUCCAUAGAAUGAGUUAAAAAGUGUUCCUUUUUAGGGAAGAAAACUUUUUUAAAAAGGAGGUUUGGUGUUCAUUAUUCUUUUCUUUUUUUUUUAGACAGAGUUUUGCUCUUGUUGCCCAGCCUGGAGUGCAAUGGCACGAUCUCAGCUCACUGCAACCUCCGCCUCCCGGAUUCAAGCAAUUCUCCUGCCUUAGCCUCCCAGGAGCUGGGAUUACAAGCAUGCGCCACCAUGCCUGGCUAAUUUUUUUUGUAUUUUUAGUAGAGAUAGGGUUUCUCCAUGUUGGUCAGGCUGGUCUCAAACUCACAACCUCAGGUGAUCCGCCUGCCUCCGCCUCCCAAAGUGCUGGGAUUACAGGCAUAAGCCACCGUGCCUGGCCAGUGUUCAUUAUUCUUUAAGCGUUUUGUAGACUUCAAUAAGAAAGUCCUGUAGUUUGAGAUGUUUUUUUUGCUGGGAGGUUUUAAAUUACUGAUUUAAUCUAUUUACAUAUUAUAGGCUUGUUCGUAUUUUCUAUUUCAUCUUGAGUCAGUUUUGAUAAUUUGUGUGUUUCUAGGAAGUUGUCUUUCAUCUAGGUUAUCUAAUUUGUUGGUGUUCAUCGUUUUUUCUCUUACAUUUCAUUUCUUCUCUUACAUUUCAUUUCUGUAAGGUUGAUAGUAAUGUCUCCACUUCUAUUGCUGAUUCUAGUUAUUCACAUUUCUUCUUUUUUUCUUUGUCAGUCAAGCUAAAGGUUUGUAGAUUUGUUAUUUUUAUUUAUUUUUUUUGGAGACGGAGUCUCACUCUGUUGCCCAAGCUGGAGUGCAGUGGUGUGAUCUCAGGUCAACCUCCAACUCCUGGGUUCAAGCGAUUCUUGUGCCUCAGCCUCCCAAGUAGCUGGAAUUACAGGCACCCACCACCACAUCCGGGUACUUUUUUGUAUUUUAAGUAGAGACAGGGUUUCACCAUUUUGGCCAGGCUGGUCUCAAACUCCUGACCUCAGGUGAUGUACCUGCCUUGACCUCUCAAAGUGCUGGGAUUACAGGUAUGAGCCACCAUGCCCAGCCUUAUUUAUUGACUUUUUAAUUGUAGUCAUUCUGACUGGUGUGAGACGGUAUUUCAUUGUGGUUUUGAUUUGCAUUUCUCUAAUGAUUAGUGAUGUUGAGCACUUUUUCAUACAAUUGUUGGCAAAGUGUAUGUCUUCUUUGAGAAGUAUCUGUUCAUGUCCUUUGCCCAUUUUUUAAUGGGGUUGUUUGUUGCUUGUUGAUCUGUUUAAGUUCCUUAUAGAUUCUGGAUAUUAGAUCUUUGUCAGAUGCAUAGUUUCUGAAUAUUUUCACUCACUCUUUCUGUAGGCUGUCUGCUUAUACUGUUGAUUGUUUCUUUUGCUAUGCAGAGGCUCUUUAAUUUAAUUAGAUCCCACUUGUCAAUUUUUGUUUUCAUUGCAACUGCUUUUGGAGUCUGUGUCAGGAAAUCUUUGCCAAGGCCUAUGUCCAGAAUAGUAUUUCCUGGGUUUUCUUCUAGGGUUUUUAUAAAAAGUUUUAGGUUAUUAUAUUUAAGUCUUUAAUUCAUGGAGUUUUCUUAAUAUGGUGAAAGGAAGGGUCCUAGUUUCAAUCUUCUACAUAUGGCUAGCCAGUUAUCCUAGCACCAUUUACUGAAUAGGGAGUCCUUUCCCUAUUGCUUGUUAUUGUCAGUUUUUCAAAGAUCAGAUGGCUGUAGGCGUGUGACUUUAUUUCUGGGUUCUCUAACCUGUUCCACCGGUGUAUGUGGUCUGUUUUUGUACGAGUACUAUGUUGUUUUGGUUACUGUAGCCUUGUAGUAUAGUUUGAAGUAGGUAGUGUGAAGCCUUGGGCUUUGUUCUUUUUGCUUAGGAUUGCUUUGGCUAUUCAAGCUCUUUUUUGGUUCCAUAUGAAUUUUAGAAUAGUUUUUUUCUAAUUCUGUGAAAAAUGGUGUUGGUAGUUUGAUAAGAUAGCAUUGAAUCUAUAAAUUGCUUUGGGAAGUAUGGCCAUUUUAACAAUACUGACUCUUCCUAUCCAUCCAUGAGCAUGGAAUGUUUUUCCAUUUGUUUAUGUCAUCUCUGAUUUCUUUCAGCAUUUUAUAAUUCUUGUUGUAGAGAUCUCUUACACCCCUGGUUAGCUGUAUUCCUAGGUAUUUUAUUCUUUUUUUUCUUUUUUUUUUCUUUGAGAUGGAGUCCCGCUCUGCCGCCCAGUCUAGAGCGCAAUGGCACCAUCUUGGCUCACUGCAACCUCCACCUCCCAGGUUCCAGCAAUUCUCCUGCCUCAGCCUCCCAAGUAGCUGGGAUUACAGGCGCCCACCACCACACCCAGUUAAUUUUUUUAUUUUUAGUAGAGAAGGGGUUUCACCAUGUUGGCCAGGCUGGUCUUGAACUCCUGACCUCAGGUGACCCACCCACCUCAGCCUCCCAAAGUGCAGAGAUUACAGGCAUAAGCCACUGUGCCCAGCUGGCAUUUUAUUCCUUUUGUGCCAAUUAUGAAUGGGAUUGUGUUCUUCAUUUAGCUCUCAGGUUGAAUGUUAUUGGUGUAUAGAAAUGCUACUGGGUUUUGUACAUUGAAUUUUGUACCUUGAAACUUAACUGAAGUUGUUUAUCAGUUCUAGGGCCCUUUGGGCACAGACAUUAGGGUUUUCUAGGUAUGGAAUCAUAUCAUCUGUGAAGAGAAAUAGUUUGACUUCCUCUCUUCCUAUUCAGAUGCCUUCUAUUUCUUUCUCUUGCCCGAUUGCUCUGGCUAGGUCUUCCAGUACUAUGUUGAAUAGGAGUGGUGAGAGUGGGCAUCUUUGUCUUGUUCUGGUUCUCAUGGGGAAUGCUUCCAGCUUUUGCCUGUUCAGUAUGAUGUUGGCUGUGUGUUUGUGAUAGAUGGCUCUUAUUAAUUUGAGGUAUGUUCCUUCAAUACCUAGUUUGUGGAGGGCUUUUAACAUGAAAGGAUGUCGAAUUUUUUCAAAAGCCUUUUCUGCAUCUAUUGAGAUGAUAAUGGGGUUUUUGUUUUCAGUUCUGUUUAUGUGAGAAAUCACAUUUAUUUAAUUGUAUAUGUUGAACCAACCUUGCAUCCCAGGAAUAAAGCUUACUUGGUCAUAGUGGAUUAGCUCUUAAAUGUGCUGCUGGAUUCAAUUUGCUAGUGUUCUGCUGAGGAUUUUUGCAUCUAAUUUUAUCAGGGAUAUUAGCUUAAAGUUUUAUUUUUUUCACCAGGUUUUGGUAUCAGAAUGAUUCCGGCCUCAUAGAAUAAAUCAGGGAGGAGGUCUGUCUCCUCAAUUUUUUAGAAUUGUUUCAGUAGGAUUUGUACCAGCUAUUCUUUACAUGUCUGGUAGAAUUCAGCUGUGAAUCCAUCUGGUCCAGGGCUUUUUCUGGUUGGUAGGUUUUUGUUGUUGUUGUUGUUGUUGUUACUAUUGAUUCAAUUUUGGAACUUGUUAUUGGUCUGUUCAAGUAUUCAAUUUCUUCCUGGUUCAAUAUUGGUAAGUUGAAUGUUUACAGCAAUUUAUCCAUUUCUUCUAGGUUUUCUAGUUUGUGUGCAUAGAGAUGUUCAUAAUACUUUCUGAGGGUUUCUUGUAUUUCAGUGAGGCCAGUGGUAAUGUCACCGUUGUCAUUUCUGAUUGUGUUUCUUUGGAUCUUCUCUCUCUUUUUUUCUUUAUCAGUCUAGCUAGAGGUCUAUGAGUCUCAUUUUUUUUUUCACCAUAAACAUAUAUCAUUUUUAUUUGACAAUUAAAAUAAGUUAAUUAAUUGAUAAUAAUAAUAAAAUUGAGUAUAGUAGCUCAGUCAUUCACUCCUUGUACUUUUUGACUCUAUCUUCUUCAGAGAGGACAAAUUCAGCACUGUUCUUGGCUGUGAGAUCAAUAGCGCUCCACUGCAGGGAAGACCUAUGGGUUACAUGUCUGUCCACACCUGGGGUUUACUCUCUUUUUUUUUAUUAUACUUUAAGUUUUAGGGUACAUGUGCACAACGUGCAGGUUAG